rnacentral:rRNA from 1 species
GGCGAGUGAAGAGGGAAGAGCCCAAGAUUGAAAGCUGGCGUCUUCGGCGUCCGCAUUGUAAUCUCAAGAAGUGUUUUCCGCUUCGGACCAUGCCUAAGUCCCUUGGAAAAGGGCAUCAUAGAGGGUGAUAAUCCCGUACAUGGCAUGGAGCGCCCGAGGCUUUGUGAUACGCUUUCUAAGAGUCGAGUUGUUUGGGAAUGCAGCUCAAAAUGGGUGGUAAAUGCCAUCUAAGGCUAAAUAUUGGGGAGAGACCGAUAGCGAACAAGUACAGUGAUGGAAAGAUGAAAAGAACUUUGAAAAGAGAGUUAAACAGUACGUGAAAUUGCCAAAAGGGAAGGGUAGGAGGUCAGAGAUGCGUCUUGGGAUUCAGCCUUGCUUUUGCUUGGUGUUUUUCCCAAGUUGCAGGCCAACGUCGGUUUUGGGCACUGGAGAAGGGUGGAAGGAACGUGGCACCUCUCGGGGUGUGUUAUAGCCUUCUACUGGAUACAGCGACCGAGACCGAGGACAGCAGCGUACUCGCAAGAGCGGGCCUUCGGGCACCUUUACGCUUAGGGCGUUGGCAUAAUGGCCCUCUACCACCCGUCUUGAACCACGGGACCA